GAAGAAUGGUAGCUCAGUGGAAGAGCACAUGUUUUGCAUGCAAGAGGUUCUAGGUUCAUCCUCUGGCAUCUUCA